rfam:Sphingomonas sp. LH128 Contig93, whole genome shotgun sequence.
UCUCAAGCGUGAGGUAAGAGCAUCUGGUGGAUGCCUUGGCAUGUACAGGCGAUGAAGGACGUGGCACGCUGCGAUAAGCGUCGGGGAGUUGUGAGCAAACUUUGAUCCGACGAUUUCCGAAUGGGGAAACCCACCUUCACCAUUUCUCUCGACCGUUGGUUCGCCAAUGAUUGAGUGAGGUGGAUAAGGUAUCCCAAGUUGAAUACAUAGACUUGGUGAAGCGAACCCGGGGAACUGAAACAUCUAAGUACCCGGAGGAAAAGACAUCAACCGAGAUUCCGUUAGUAGUGGCGAGCGAACGCGGACCAGGCCAGUGCCUCAUCUUCAGUUAGCAGAACGACUUGGAAAGGUCGACCAUAGUGGGUGACAGUCCCGUAUGCGAAAACGAUAGAUGAGGACUCGAGUAGGGCGGGACACGUGAAAUCCUGUCUGAACAUGGGGGGACCACCCUCCAAGCCUAAAUACUCGUACAUGACCGAUAGCGAACACAGUACCGUGAGGGAAAGGUGAAAAGCACCCCGAUGAGGGGAGUGAAACAGUACCUGAAACCGGAUGCUUACAAGCAGUUGGAGCCUCUUUAGGGGGUGACAGCGUACCUCUUGCAUAAUGGGUCAGUGACUUAAUGUACCAUGCGAGCUUAAGCCGUUAGGUGUAGGCGCAGCGAAAGCGAGUCUGAAUAGGGCGACUGAGUAUGGUGUAUUAGACCCGAAACCCGGCGAUCUAGGCAUGACCAGGUUGAAGGUGCGGUAACACGCACUGGAGGACCGAACCGUUGAAUGUUGAAAAAUUCUCGGAUGAGUUGUGUUUAGGGGUGAAAGGCCAAUCAAGCCGGGAAAUAGCUGGUUCUCCGCGAAAUCUAUUGAGGUAGAGCGUCGAAUGAUUGCCGUUGGGGGUAGAGCACUGGAUGGAUGCGGGGGUCGCGAGAUCUACCAAUUCUAACCAAACUCCGAAUACCAACGAGACUAGUUCGGCAGACAGACGGCGGGUGCUAAGGUCCGUCGUCAAAAGGGAAACAGCCCUAACCUACAGCUAAGGUCCCCAAGUCAUCACUAAGUGGGAAAGCAUGUGGGAAUCCCAAAACAACCAGGAGGUUGGCUUAGAAGCAGCCAUCCUUUAAAGAAAGCGUAACAGCUCACUGGUCUAAACAAGGGUUCCUGCGGCGAAAAUGUAACGGGGCUAAAGUGAUGCACCGAAGCUUAGGGUUCAGUCUUUGACUGAGCGGUAGCGGAGCGUUCCGUAGGCGAGUGAAGCGGGAGGGUAACCGACCGUGGACGUAUCGGAAGUGCGAAUGCUGACAUGAGUAGCGACAAAGAGGGUGAGAUGCCCUCUCGCCGAAAGACCAAGGGUUCCUGCUUAAAGCUAAUCUGAGCAGGGUGAGCCGGCCCCUAAGACGAGCCCGAAGGGGGUAGUCGAUGGGAACCACGUUAAUAUUCGUGGGCCUGGUGGUGUGUGACGGAUCACUUACAUUGUACAACCUUAUUGGAUUGGUUGUGCUUUCACGUGGUUCCAGGAAAUAGCCCCACCGUAUAGACCGUACCCGAAACCGACACAGGUGGUCAGGUAGAGUAUACCAAGGCGCUUGAGAGAAGUAUCCUGAAGGAACUCGGCAAAUUGCCUCCGUACCUUCGGAAGAAGGAGGCCCCAUAUAUGCGCAAGCACUUGUGGGGGGCACAGGCCAGGGGGUAGCGACUGUUUAGCAAAAACACAGGACUCUGCUAAGUCGGCUUCAAGACGACGUAUAGGGUCUGACGCCUGCCCGGUGCCGGAAGGUUAAGAGGAGGAGUGCAAGCUCCGAAUUGAAGCCCCGGUAAACGGCGGCCGUAACUAUAACGGUCCUAAGGUAGCGAAAUUCCUUGUCGGGUAAGUUCCGACCUGCACGAAUGGCGUAACGACUUCCCCACUGUCUCCAGGAUAUGCUCAGCGAAAUUGAAUUCUCCGUGAAGAUGCGGAGUACCCGCGGUUAGACGGAAAGACCCCGUGCACCUUUACUGCAGCUUCAGAGUGGCAUUAGGAUAGAAUUGUGUAGCAUAGGUGGGAGGCUUUGAAGCACCGGCGCCAGCUGGUGUGGAGCCAUAGGUGAAAUACCACCCUGUUAUGUUCUGAUGUCUAACCCAGGACCGUUAUCCGGUUCGGGGACCCUCUGUGGCGGG